rfam:Gossypium raimondii Chr11_contig_690, whole genome shotgun sequence.
UGUGAAAAUUUUCAUCUAUUUGUACAUUUAAAAACUAGUGUGAUUGACGGAAUAACCAAACAAUAACAUAUGGUGUGCCACGUGUAUCUUAUUCUAAUAUAUAAAGACCAAUUUUUAAUAGUAAAAAUAAAUGAAACUUUUAAUA